rnacentral:rRNA from 1 species
UACGAGGGGGGCGAGCGUUGUUCGGAAUUAUUGGGCGUAAAGGGGGCGUAGGCGGUUUGGUAAGUCUUAUGUGAAAUCUACAGGCUCAACUUGUAGUCUGCAUGAGAAACUGCCGGGCUUGAGUGUGGGAGAGGUGAGUGGAAUUCCUGGUGUAGCGGUGAAAUGCGUAGAUAUCAGGAGGAACACCUGUGGCGAAAGCGGCUCACUGGACCAUAACUGACGCUGAUGCACGAAAGCUAGGGGAGCAAACAGG